AAUGAACGUUGGCGGCGUGGAUUAGGCAUGCAAGUCGUGCGAGAAGUGUUUUUGCUUGCAUUGAACACGGACAGCGGCGAAAGGGAGAGUAACGCGUGGUUACGUGCCCCGAGGUCCAGGAUAGCGUUGGGAAACUGGCGGUAAUACUGGAUGAUAUCUUCGGAUCAAAGGUGUGAUUCCGCCUUGGGAUCGGACCGCGUACUAUUAGCUUGUUGGUGGGGUAACGGCCUACCAAGGCUGCGAUGGUUACCGGGUGUGAGAGCAUGGCCCGGCUCACUGGGACUGAGACACUGCCCAGACAUCUACGGAUGGCUGCAGUCGAGAAUCUUCGGCAAUGGACGAAAGUCUGACCGAGCGACGCCGCGUGCGGGAUGAAGGCCCUCGGGUUGUAAACCGCUGUCAGUUGGGAGGAAGGACCUGUGCAGAGCAGGUCUUGACCGAUCUUCAGAGGAAGGACGGGCUAAGUUCGUGCCAGCGCCGCGGUAA
rnacentral:rRNA from 1 species